UCUGCCCCCAUAGCCUGGGAUACCACUUGGAAACAGGUGCUAAUACGGGAUAAGAAAGCAGAUCGCAUGAUCAGCUUUUAAAAAAGGCGGCGUAAGCUGUCGCUAUGGGAUGGCCCCGCGGUGCAUUAGCUAGUUGGUAAGGUAAAGGCUUACCAAGGCGAUGAUGCAUAGCCGAGUUGAGAGACUGAUCGGCCACAUUGGGACUGAGACACGGCCCAAACUCCUACGGGAGGCAGCAGUAGGGAAUCUUCCACAAUGGACGCAAGUCUGAUGGAGCAACGCCGCGUGAGUGAAGAAGGUUUUCGGAUCGUAAAGCUCUGUUGUUGGUGAAGAAGGAUAGAGGUAGUAACUGGCCUUUAUUUGACGGUAAUCAACCAGAAAGUCACGGGCUAACUACGUGCCAGCAGCCGCGGUAAAAA
rnacentral:rRNA from 1 species